rnacentral:rRNA from 1 species
GGGGGACAACAUUCGGAAACGGAUGCUAAUACCCCAUAGGUGGAUUGGUCGCAUGACGAAUUCAUUAGAGGUGGCUUUGCUACCACUCAUGGAUAGCCUCGCGGCGUAUUAGCUAGUUGGUAAGGUAAUGGCUUACCAAGGCAGUGAUACGUAGCCGACUUGAGAGGGUGAUCGGCCACACUGGAACUGAGACACGGUCCAG